ACAACUUGAUACCCUUGCCCUUAGGAAGUGACACCCAUGGCUUUGUCCCUUUACCAAUUGUGAAGACAUUCCCUAGACGAGUUGCAAACUCAUGCCCAGCAGCAUCUUGAAUGUGGAUUGUCUCAAAGCUACCCUUAUGCUUCUCCCUGUUCUUAAUCACUCCAACACGUCCCCUGUUCCUUCCUCCAGUGACCAUGACAACAUUCCCAACAUCAAACUUAAUGAAAUCAACAAUUUUGUUGCUCUCCAGGUCAAGCUUGAUGGUGUCAUUAGCCUUGAUCAGAGGAUCAGGGUAGCGGAUGGUGCGUCCGUCAUAGGUAUUGAGGUAUGGAAUACCCUUC
rnacentral:lncRNA from 1 species